rnacentral:misc_RNA from 1 species
AGUUGGUUUUUCUCCCACUGCAUCCUGAAUUGAUCAUAGUGAAGAUUGGGGAAAACAUUUAAGGAUCAACCAUAAAUCCCAAGAAAAUAAGAGAAAAUUACAUUUUGCAUGGAGAAAUCAUUUUAACAUUAGUAACCAGAAAAUGAACAGAAAGUUUUCACACUGGUGAAGAUAUGCUUUAAGUUAAAGCUAAAAUCCAAAUGCAGCACAGAAAAAGCACCAGCAAAAGAACUACUAUACUAAACUCAAUGCUUUACAUGACACUAGUGUUCAAUCCCAACUCAAUUCCUCCAAAUAACAGCCUGAAUCAACUUUUGGGACUUCUGACAUACUUGUUCUACAACUGCUAAGCAUACAUAAUUUAUGUCCCAAUUAACUGCUACACGUGCCCUCUUCUUUAGUUUCCAAAUACCUAGAAGGAACAAAAUGGGACGGAUUUGGGCACAUCAAGGUUGAAGCAUUUCCUCAUUCUCAAUAGCAAAGGUAGUAAAUGAAAAGCAUUGGAUUUACUAUGCGGCAGCAAGUUUUUUCCUUCUUAGCACCAAAACAUGUUAUUUUUCUUUUUAAAUUGGAGGAUGAAAAGACAAUUCAGUUGGGGGUCUCUUAAAAUGAGAAACAAUGGAAUGAUAUAAAUUGAUCCAAAGAAUCUUCCUCCUAAAUAGCUAGAAGAAAGCACAAUAAUAAAUAAUCAUAUGCCCAUUGAGAAGAGUAUAACUGAUUGAAAAUAAGCAUAUGGCUGAGCAGCAUGCAAUGAUGCACAAGAAACCCUAAUUUCAACUAAAUUAUGAGGGGGACAACGAAACAGCCUAUGCAGAUGCAGUCAAUCUGGGAAAACAACUAUGAAAAAGCCCCAUAAUACAAUUUCAAAACUAGCAGCCAAAUUUUGAAAAUUAAAAGAAUAAGAAAUAUUGGGCCUUUCCAAAAGACGGUGAUGGAAGAAGUGAAGUAAAACCAUUUAAGAUCUGAAUCUAGGUCGUAAAAACAUAACCUAAUGGAAUAGCAACCAAUCAAAUAUGAUUUGGCAGUGAAUUAUAUAGCUAGUUCCUUAAAAUACGUUUAUUAUACAUAGACCUGCAAUCUCCGAAAGAAAUCAGCAUUUACCAAACAAUCAUGAGCAAAAUAAGUCUAAGAUUAUAAAUUGCUCACAACAAUCAAGUAUUUUCAAACAUAACCUAUCAAAUCAAAGACUCCAGAAGGAAAGUAAACCUGAAAUCGAAAAACACAAAACACUUUAAAAACGCCACACUUAAACACCAAAACACAGCAAUCGUAUCAACUACCUCGUAAAAAACAGCAUCUGAUAUUCAAAU